ACGCACUCACUUGCACAGCAUUGAAUGGAAAAGGCUUUGUCCAUGUCCAGUUGAGGGGCAUCAAGAACACGCAGAUGGCCUAAACCUGUGUCAGCCUGGACAGACUGCAGUUCUGCUACUCCACGCCAAGGCUUUUGUAUGGAUGUCUGACUACUGUGUUCUCUAAAGGUAUUACUGGAGCAAAACGACAGCACUUGUUACAGUGAAAUUUGUGUUAAUUAAAGAUAGUGAUAUAUGUGUAACAGGUCCAGUACAUUUGUCAUAAAGGUUAAAUCACAGUAAGUACUGUAAAAAUAACUUGUUUGCCUUUGCCACAACAGGUCAUGGUGUGUGCUUACUGCUUGUAGUAAACGCACGCGCUGAUCUGAUGCGGGAGAGAUAUACGCAAACACAUUUGUAUUUACUG
rnacentral:lncRNA from 1 species